rnacentral:sRNA from 1 species
UGAUUUUGAUAUCGGUCGAACAGGAUC